UAGCGAUCUCACCCAAAAAAAUAUAAAAAAUCUCACCCUGACCGCAUCUGCCUCAGCAGCACUGGCGACUGCCAUCGCCCUCACCGCGACUCGCCUCCCCCACAUCGCCGCCAGGCAUGCAAGGCCUGGUGGGCAUGGACAUGUCCAACAGUACGGUAAGAUCCGUUUGGUCGAUGGACGGCAGAAGUAAAACAUACGGCGAGGCGCUCUGCUACCGGUACAGAGGCGUCGGGCGGCUGGCGUGGGGAGGUGGAAUAAUCAUGGGAACGUUCCUUCGCCUCCCGAUCUUCGUCCCUGGGCAAUUUCUAGCUACUGUUUCCGAUGCAAGUAUGCAACCCACCGCCGCCGCCAGCAUGUUCACCUCAUGCUCGUCCUCCUUCCAAUCCAUCUAGAUUCCCACCGUCCUCUUCUUCUCCAGCCCGUCCAGGUGAAGGAGGCAGCAGCUCAACCAACGCCGUCGAUUCUCCGACAGCAGUGCUCCGCAGGUGUCCCUCCCGCCAGCAGCACCCAAGAGGCCAAGACCAACGACGGUAUCCCUCCCGACAGUAGUUCUUCCAUCCACGAUGGCUGCUACGGCUAUUGGUUCAUCUCAGGUUGCAACUUCUAAACUAAAAAGGAAUACAGAUGAUAUGGGUUGGGAAUUUGCCGUGCUGAUCGAUCCCAAUGAUCCGCAAAGAGUCAAGUGCAAGCUUUGUGGAAAAUAAAUGUCGGGAGGGGUGAUCCGGAUGAAGGAACACAUUGCUCAGAGGCUCAGUGACACCUUGUUUGCAUGACACACCAGAUCAGCAAGCUCGUUAUAAGGCCUAUUAAAACCAAGACCUAUUUCUGUUUUGCGGACUCAUUAUUAUCUAAUAUAUGUACUGUCUGCAUUCCUACUGCAAUGGCUAUCCUAUUUCAUGAUAUUUCAUAUUUGUGUCUACAAUUAUGCAAGAUUUGGAAAUACGAAGUUUCAGAGCAUCUACUACUGGUUGUUUCCAUCAGUAUAUUUCAAGCUUAUUUUUACCAUUGCAGCUGAGAUUUCUCAUAUUGUUUCUGGACAUGCACACUCUCUCCGCUAAGGCUGUGAUGUUCUCAAUUUUCAUGUGGCUACCACUAUUUUUAAUGAAUGGCGGUGAUCUAUCAUUUAUUUGAUUGUAAAGAGCUAGACAUGUAUUAUUUGCAAAAGGUAAUGCAUGGUGGUGCUGUUUUAUAUUGGGUUAUUUGAUAUUCAUGCCAUUUUUUAUAACCAUGGAUCAACAUAGACAUUAGAAAGCAGGAAAUAUCCCAUUCUUACUGCACUUAUGACAAAUAAGACCGUCCACCUUGUUAUUUUUUAACAAUCAUGUUGUACAAUAUUGAAUAUUUUGCAUGUUAAAAAGAUUGACGGCAUUACUGAUACAAUAUCGUGGGAUUUUUAGCUUCUUUUUGUAUAUAGAUGUAUUUUCUCAGUUUUGAGUUUUUUUUAGCAUGCUUUCACACCUUCAAUUUUGGAUUUCUUUCUUUGCAGUUUUUAUAGCUUUAUCAUUCUAGCCUCCUCUCUACAAUGAAUCCCUCGAGCCGAAGGACUACUUUUCUCCCCAUGUGUGUCGUUAUUUUAGAUUUGGAUUUUUUCUAGAUGUAUAGAGAUGUACAUUCUGGUUUGGCAAUGUAGAUUUAGUCGGUGUUUUGAUGAGAGAUGUAUAUAAGCGAUACCUACUAUUGUGCUUUGUGAAAGAUGCGUGACAAAGGUUCUCCAGGUUGCUGCUAUUGUGGUUUGUGAAAUAUAUCUUCUUGCCAACCUAUAAUCGACUACUUACUAUGAUAUCUUGCAAUGAUUCAUUUCUUUUACAUGUAGUUAAGCUUUUAGCUGUAGUCAAAUCGGCCAUGUCAUACUAUUUUUCUUGACAUAUCCAGGAGGUGGCGAAUGCUUCAGGUUUUAUUAUUGUGUGCCAUUGAACAAUGGAAAUGGAAUUUUGGUUUUGUGAUGAUCUGGUUGGAGCGUUAGUAGUCAAGUUUGUAAGCGGGUAAUAAAUUAAUGGAGGGCAACAGACAAAUUAUAACUAUAGUUACAUUAAAAGAUGAAGAUGAUUGAGUCGAAAUGUAAUAUAUAUUUCGUAAAUACGUUGCAAUAACCAGAGUAUGAUAUUGUGAAUCAAUCUAUUUGAAGAAGCUAUUCUAGAUUAGUUAGUUAUUUCUUUCUGUACCUAUCAAGCAAGUUUCAUGAAUAUUUGCAUCUAUAUAUGCAACUGAUGGUUUCUCAAUCUCAUGUCAGUGGAGUUGUUCCUGGAAAAACUUAAAUAUCCAUUUCUCAUCAGUUCAGAGUGGCAUAACCUGGGCAUUCAUUUCAGUGAAGUCCAUUUCGGGUGAGGGCAUGCAAUCUAUGCAUUCUAUCAUAUGAGAUGUUUUUUCAGCUUAUCUAACUGUACACUAAUUGCAGUCACAUUGGAUGUUUUUUAGCAUAUCUGACCGUAAAAUUCUUGCAUUCCUAGCGUAUUGAUCUGUUAUUCAAAUCAUACCCUUGAAACUUAUUCGUGUUUCUCAUCAAUUUAUGAUGGCAGACGUAUAAUCCGUCGAUUCCUCUCACCUCCGAUCUUAGAUAGUUGCUAUGCACCCUCUUUGCCAGGAGGCCUCCACCAACUUACCGUCCAUCAACUUUUCUGGACUCGCCAACAGUCUGGUGCUAGGGGACACAAUAUUUGUUGGGCAGAUAUACCAAAGCUUGCAUCUGCCUUAUGUAAGUUUCCGAAUUUCAAGGUGAUGACAUGGUUUGUAUGAUCAAUAACUCUUCAUCUGCCGUAAGUUUCUGAAGCUCUCAAUCAGUAUGUACCUCUUAUAACUAAAAGAACAUUGGGCCAGCAUGACCGCUUACAUUAGAGACGGUAAGGAAAUUAGCUAUAAAUGGCUCAAACAAACAGGAGCGGCACAUAAUGAGUCUUGCUAAUUACCGCAGCUGCUUAAUUAACCCCAUGAUACACACCCUAAUUAACAUUUGAACAUAGCGAAGCACUCCUGUAUGGAGCUCAUGUUGAACAUAAGAAAGCACACAUAUAUUUUAGUAUGUUUGCAACAAAAUUACCAAAUGGUUAAAAAAUUUGGUAUGGAAGUGAAUUUUUCUGUCAACAGGAAGCCUUCCUAUGAUAAUUUCCUUGUGUUAGAAUUGCAAGUAAUAGUUUCAGAUCUUCUGUAUUUUGGAGAGAUUUCCUGCGAGUGAUGUAUUUGUUGGGUUUCUACGCACUUUCAGGUUGUCUUGCGACCAUACCUAUGAAUCCUACGGUUUCUUGUAAUAUCUACAUGCCCAGUUUCAAUCAUUCCAUUCGUUGGUUCUGCCAAACUUUUAUAGCCUCAUGCGCCUCUUUUGCUGCUAGCAGAAGAAGGUUGAUAGAUAAAAUUUAAAAUUAUUUUAAGAAAAAAACAGAUAAUUAGUAUGUUGACCAGUUAGUGAUCUAGCUUGGUAUGCAUGCUUCCACCUGGUUAUCUAAAUUAAUAUUUUUUACUCUCUACUUGAUGGCAGGAGUUUCAUGGAGCAGUUCAAAUAUUGCAUGUUGUCGUUCUGGAAGCUAUGCUGAAAAAGCUCACCUUCCAUGUCCUGAGUACGAGAACCAAGUUGCAGGAGAAGAAAUCUUAUAGCUAAAGUGAUGUUCUACUCGUCUACCCAGUUUCUGUGUGCUUCAUCCUAUCCCCACUCGCUGUAUAGCUACCCGCUGACCCUGGAAGCUGCAACGCGUGAUGCUGCUCGACAGCAUCUCGAGUGUAUGGAGCAAAUUGAGAUGAAAGUGUCUUCAACUUUCAAAGAUGUUGAUUUGGAGAAGGGAAGAGUGGAACUUCUCCAUCAUCAGCUGGAGAAGAAGAAUGAGAAGCUAAUACAAUGUUUCUCAUUCUUCAUCCUGGGCAAUGAUCUUUCUAUGUACUAUCCGGUGUUUGACUAUAUGUGUAAUAAGUGAUGGCUAUCUCUUCUAUGAGCCUUCACGGGUGCUUGCCUGGUGUUUGCUUUUCUUGAACAUCGUGUGGUGUUUGCUUUUCCUUGAACAUCGUGUAUCUGGUAACUGUUAUCGGUA